rnacentral:tRNA from 2 species
GCGCCCGUAGCUCAGCUGGAUAGAGCGGCAGCCUCCGGAGCUGUAGGUCGGGAGUUCGAAUCUCUCCGGGCGCACCA